rnacentral:ncRNA from 12 species
GCUUUCAACAUCUCCGUCCCGCUUAGCGGGACUGAAGGC